AGUGAACGCUGGCGGUAGGCCUAACACAUGCAAGUCGAACGGCAGCACAGUAAGAGCUUGCUCUUACGGGUGGCGAGUGGCGGACGGGUGAGGAAUACAUCGGAAUCUACUUUUUCGUGGGGGAUAACGUAGGGAAACUUACGCUAAUAUCGCAUACGACCUACGGGUGAAAGCAGGGGAUCUUCGCACCUUGCGCGAUUGAAUGAGCCGAUGUCGGAUUAGCUAGUUGGCGGGGCAAAGGCCCACCCAGGCGACGAUCCGUAGCUGGUCUGAGAGGGUGAGCAGCCACACUGGAACUGAGACACGGUCCAGACUCCUACGGGAGGCAGCAGUGGGGAAUAUUGGACAAUGGGCGCAAGCCUGAUCCAGCCAUACCGCGUGAGUGAAGAAGGCCGUCGGGUUGUAGAGCCCUUUUGUUGGGAAAGAAAAGCAGCAGAUUAAUACCCCGCUGUUCUGACGGUACCCAAAGAAGAAGCACCGGCUAACUUCGUG
rnacentral:rRNA from 1 species